CGUCAGUCCUGCGCAGCAGCCGCGGGAUAGCGGGGUGGGUGAGAGUUGGUCUGAAUCACUGGGCGGAAAGGGCGGGUAGGCGGUCAAGUAAGUGGAAUGUGAAAUCCCCCGGCUUACCCGGGGACCUGCAUCCCAAACUGCUUGGCUUGAGUACGGGAGAGGAUGAGGGAAUUCCUGGUGUAGCGGUGAAAUGCGUAGAUAUCAGGAGGAACACCGGUGGCGAAGGCGCUCAUCUGGCCCGAUACUGACGCUGAGGCGCGAAAGCUAGGGGAGCAAACGGGAUUAGAUACCCCGGUAGUC
rnacentral:rRNA from 1 species